GACACGAUAGCCAAGAUGGUUACGGCGAUUGACUAGAAAGUACAGCUCGAAAUCAAAUGGGAUUUUCCCGCACAGGUUCGAAUCCUGCUCGUGUCG